UGGGGAAUAUUGCACAAUGGAGGGAACUCUGAUGCAGCGACGCCGCGUGAACGAAGAAGGCUUUCGAGUCGUAAAGUUCUUUUAUAUGGGAAGAUAAUGACGGUACCAUAAGAAAAAGCCCCGGCUAACUACGUGCCAGCAGCCGCGGUAAUACGUAGGGGGCUAGCGUUGUCCGGAAUCACUGGGCGUAAAGGGUUCGCAGGCGGAAAUGCAAGUCAGGUGUAAAAGGCAGUAGCUUAACUACUGUAAGCAUUUGAAACUGCAUAUCUUGAGAAGAGUAGAGGUAAGUGGAAUUUUUAGUGUAGCGGUGAAAUGCGUAGAUAUUAAAAAGAAUACCGGUGGCGAAGACGACUUACUAGACUCAUUCUGACGCUGAGGAACGAAAGCGUGGGUAGCAAACAGG
rnacentral:rRNA from 1 species